rnacentral:lncRNA from 1 species
CCCUUCCUUCUCCUGGGACUGCUAGACAAGGGUUUGGAACUAAAUGAUCCUGGGUAGGAGGAGGGAGAUGGAGCAGGGCCACCAUGUAUCGUUGGGCAGGUGACCCGCAGCGCAAUUCCAGGCAAGCCCCUGACACUCAUUCUUUGGUCAUGGUGACUACAGCCACCUUCUCCCAUCUCCCCAUCCAGCAUCCCUGGCAGAAGCAGGGCUGUUCCUUGAAUUUCAGCUCCUUGGAAGCACCCCCCACCCCGAUUCCAGUUGCUUUUGUGCUUCUGAAACAUGCAGCACCAGAGAAGUCCCUUGUUUGCUUCAUUUUGUUCACCUAGAAAUUGAUAGAUGCUUUCCAGGUCUCAGCAUAGUCCCCAAAGUCACUUUCUCCAGGCAUGUGGGAGCCAGCUAUUUGCACACCUGAAACAAUCUGUAUGUAAUCUCGCUGAUAGAAUAAAGACAUGAGUUUGAAGACUUCCAUAGCCAGAUCUGAGGCUGAAUCCUUCCCUCUGGCCUUCUGUUUUACCUUCUUCAGAUGCCAUGGUCCCCUGGAGCCAUUUCCCAGCCUAUUCAAAUGAAGAUCCAGGGAGUUUCCAUCUUGGCUCAUCAGAAACAAAUCUGAAGCAUCCAUGAGGAUGCAGGCUUGAUCCCCUGCUCAGUAGAUUAAGGAUUCAGCAUUGCCAUGGGCUGUGGUAUAGGUUGCAGAUGUGGCUCUGAUCUGGCAUUGCUGUGGCUGUGGCUGUGGCCAGCAGUCACAGCUCUGAUUAGACCCCUAGCCUGGGAACCUCCAUGUGCCAUGGGCGCGAUCCUAAAAAGGUAAAAAAAAAAAAAAAAAAAAAAAAAAAAANCUCUCAAAAAGCAGCUGUGGAAAAGCAUCCCAUUAUAAGGCAUCCCUACAUCUUUCAAAGAGCAGCCACGCUCAGCUUUUAUGAUUGUAUAACUCUCCAUAGUCAAAUAUAAUCAAAUAUUUAAAAUAUCCCUUUCUCUCACCAGAUCUCAUAAACUACAAAUCAGGAUUGCCUUUGUCUUCAGAAUCAGUGAUGUCUGUACUCACGGGUUAGUUCUACUCCAUUUUCAGGGGCAUCUCUGUAUCAUUGCCCCCGAAAUGUAGAACUCAUCUUUGACCACAGUGAGAUGCUUCCCCAAACUUCCAGAUGCUGCAAUGAAUGGUAAGGCCAGAUGAAAGAGAAUCAGAUUUGUAUUCUGUUGAUAGAUACCCAGUGCAGGGCAUGGGGUGGGGGCCAGGCCUGUGAAAAAGAAUUCAGCUUCCUCAUUUCGUGGCAUUUAUUUGCUCAUUAUUGAAACUAACGAAACUGCCCAGGAGCCUUUUGGUUUUGCCUUUCUUUAGUGUGCCUUCUUUUCUAAAAACUGUCUCUUAUAAUCGCUUCAUGUUACGCUGGAAGGUCCAUACCGAUUUUCGCUGAGAAUCACAGAAAUUUUCUUUUCAUAUUAAAAAAAAAUUAAAUGAAAGGUUUAUACUUUUAUAGUUCUUUAUACUUUUCAAAAGCUUCACACACAUGAUUUCAUAUACUCUCCUGUAUGAUUUCAUAUACCCCCAUAUUGCCCUCCCCCACCCCGACCCCCUGCUGGUAACCUCUAGUUUGUUCUUUGUGAGUCUGUUUCUUUUUUGUUUUAGUCACCAGUUUCUUGUAUUUUUGAGAUUCCACAUAGAAGUGAUAUCAUACAGAAUUUAUCUCUCUCUGUCUGACUUAUUUCACUUAGCACAGGUUUCCAUUUACACCUGGGCAGACUUAUUCGGCUGGCUCUAGGUGCUGCGGUCUCAGGCCACAGCCCUGGGAAGUGGAAGUGGUCUCCAGAUGUUAAGGUCCCCCUGGCCUGGCUCACCUCCCCUCCCUUAGAGAGGGCGUCCUUCACUCUCCAGUGAUACGGAGGCCUUAGGGAAGCUGCUUCCUCAGGGUUCAGAUCGUCUCUGGAAAGGACUCACACCUGAGUCUUGUGUUGCUCAUGAGUCAAAAGCCAGUGACCAACACUCUGCUAUACUCAGCACUUUAAUGACAAGGACUAACUAUGGGGUCAGGUGGCCCCUCUGAGGCACCUGCUCCCCUUAGAAUGAGUUCUUUCCCAAGAGGUUCCUUUGUUCUUCAAGCAAAUCCACAUCCUCUAGGCCGCCUUCCCACAACCCCCCGCUGCCCCCACCCCGUGUACGAUUUAUGUCCAUAAUUGAAUCCAAGAUGCACCCCAGAUCUGUACUCUUUGCCAUGUAGAAAUAUCAUCAAUUUGGAGUUCCUGUUGUGGCACAGCGAAAACGAAUCUGACUAGGAACCAUGAGGUUUCAGGUUCCAUCCCUGGCCUCAAUCACUAGUGGGUUAAGGAUCCAGCAUUGCCAUGAGCUGUGGUGUAGGUUGCAGACAUGACUCGGAUCCUGCGUUGUGUGGCUGUUGUGUAGGCUGGCAGUUGUAGCUCCAAUUUGACCCCUGGCCCGGGAA